ensembl:snoRNA
GAUUUCUCAGCUCUGUGUUGCGACACUUGGCUUCACCUGUGUGACUUUCCUAAUGGGAAUAGAAAGAAAAGGUCUCUUUCCUUGAGGGGUACAAUAAGU